rnacentral:rRNA from 1 species
GCUGGCAAUCCUGCCACCAUGUUGGCAUUCCUGCUGUGUCUGGCAGUUCCCUGAGCAUGAAGGCCAAGCAGGAUUGGGCCUGCUUAGUACUCGGAUGGGGGACCACCAAGAAAUCAUAGGGCUAUAGGUUGAA